rnacentral:lncRNA from 1 species
CAAUCAGCGAGACUCCGUGGGCGUAGGACCCUCCGAGCCAGGUGCAGGAUAUAAUCUCGUGGUUCGCCGUUUUUUAAGCCCGUCGGAAAAGCGCAGUAUUCGGGUGGGAGUGACUCGAUUCUCCAGGUGCCAUCUGUCACCCCUUUCUUUGACUAGGAAAGGGAAACUCCCUGACCCCUUGCGCUUCCCGAGUGAGGCAAUGCCUCGCCCUGCUUCGGCUCACACAUGGUGCGCGCACCCACUGACCUGCGCCCACUGUCUGGCACUCCCUAGUGAGAUGAACCCGGUACCUCAGAUGGAAAUGCAGAAAUCACCCGUCUUCUGCGUCGCUCACGCUGGGAGCUGUAGACCGGAGCUGUUCCUAUUCGGCCAUCUUCCUUACCCACCAAAAAAAUUUAUUUUCAAGAUUAGGGAAGUUAAAAGGUUUAUUUAAGAUGUCAGAUUUUUAUAUGUUACCAGAACAAUUUCUUUUUUCAUUCCUGCCAGGCCAAUACUGACCAAAGAAAGCCAAGGAUGGUGCACUUCAUCUACCAAUAAAUAAUAAUGUUUGAGCUUAAUUAUGAGGACUGUUCUAUAAAAUCUUGAGUUUGGGGCUUUGUAGAUUGUACUAUUGUCAUCUUAUUUAUAACUACAUACAGGCUUCAUGCUGCAUGGUCCAUAUAUUUACCUAUGAUAAUUUAGAACCAGGAUCUUUAUUUGGUCUUAUAAAGAACUAGGCAUUGUAAUAAUGGUAUACAGUUUAACACACCCAAGCCAGCUGGCAUAUAGGAUGUUCUCCACUGGAAUAGAGUGUUCGUCAAGGUCAGAGGAAACCCAAUCCACAUUGGAACAAGGCUUCUUAAGACAUGGAUGUAAUUUGGUGGUGCGGAAAAAUCAGAGUGUUCAAAACAGACAAUGGACAAUGUGACACAAAGCCUUGAAAAUCACUUGUUUGUCAGAAAUUGUCUGGUUGUUGCUCUUGGGAAUACUGCAACCAUCACCAAGUGAACAAGACUGGGCAACGCUGUGAGAUAAUGGGAGACAUAUGGCCUUUUACCACUGGUAUGGAAUCAACCACCAGACCUAGGAGUAAUGACAUUUUGACCCAGCUGAGCAGUUAAGUGGGCCCAGACUAGAACUGCUCAGCUGACUCAGAAUUAUCAAAAAUAACAUAUUUUGUUGUUUAAGUCAAAAUGUUUUGGGGCGAUCACGACACAGCAAGAAUUAACUGACACAGUUCCCACUUGUGAUUUCCCUAUAAUAUUCUCUUUUGCUUUAUACCACUGGAUACAUGUUCUGUGCUAUGGUUGUGGCAGAGAAGGAGGUGGUAGUAGUGAAGAUAAGACAAGCAAUUGGGAUCAAGUUGCCCAGCACUACGCAAUCAACUUAUUUACUUUGUAUUGAGAGGGAAGGAAAUAUUAAAUCAAUUGUGGCUAAACACAGUCUACACUUAAUAGCAAAUAUUUAUGUUGUAGAUAAAAUAUUUCUUGGUGACAGCUUUUUACUGAAGAGAAUGUUAUUGAAGAUCUUUUCUUCUAUUAUUUAAAUAUACUGCCUAGCUUAUUUUGUAAAACUUCUUGGAAAGAACCUUAAUUACUUCCCAUGCUAAACUUGUUUGGCAAUGUAAGCCUCAUUAAAGAAUAGAUAUUAAAGAACAUUUCUAUUAUGCUUCCUCCAAAUCAUUUGGUCUAAUCCUCUUCUAACCAUAAAACAUCUAAUAUAAAUGCAAAUAUUUGUUAUUACUAAUAACUGUGGAUAGACCCUAUUUAAUAAAUGGCAGGCAUUGCCAAGAAAAUUGUGGCGAGCUCGUAAAUUCAAACAUAGCUGACUUCCAUCAAUCAAAAAUAAAUUGGCUAUGUUUAUCAUAAAGAAAACAAAAGCCCAUUUAAAACACACAAUACUUAAUGAGUUAUAGACUUUAUAUUUGUGAUUGUAUGGGACAACUCAUUCAGACCCCAAAUGCCAGGCUUCUUUCUUCUUAGUCUACUCUUAGUCUACUUAGUCUGCUUGUCUUUGACCAAACAGCAUUAACCCUGCAUAUGGAAAGAACAUAAGGCUUAGUCAGAAGAAUGCUGUUUGAUUCUCAGUACUAGAAUGAACCAGCUAUGUACUGUAGAAUAAUUAGACAACAUAAUACAUUGACAAACAAAUUUUUUUCUUAACUCUAAAUAGCAACUGUUGAACAUUUGCUAUGUGCUGGGCACUGGUAAGUAAACUUUAUAUAAGAUAUCUCAUUAAUUCUCACAGACAACCUUAGAUUUAGACUUUAUCAUUAGUCUCACUUUACAUAUCAAGAAACUAAGGUUUGGAGGGUUUAGUUUACUUGUGUAAAAUGCUAAACCUUGUGAUUUGUAGAGCUGGGAUUCUGAACAGAUCUGGCUCCAGAGUUUGAAUUUGUAAUUAUUCUCCCAUUGUCCCUCACUAUACAUAUUACCUCCAUUUCAGUUUUCUUGGGAAUCGUCUUCAUUUCAAUAUCAAAGGAUUAUAAAAAGGAUAAAAUAAGGAUGCAUAUGCAAGAGUUUAUGUACUUUAAAUAUUAGUAUUCAUUUAACAAAUAAUUAUAAGCAGAUACUAUGCAAGUAGCAAUUGCCACACUGAUUUCAACCAACCCAGCAUAUGGAUACAAACUGUGUAUGGAUACAGAAAGUGUUCUAAAAGUCAGAACUGUCCUCUCUGACACAGAAAUUAAAAAGUUAGCAAUGUAUCCAAAAUAUUUUCAUUACUUUAAUAUCUCCGUCAAUCAUCUGUGAACGUACAUGAAUAUUUUCGAAUUAGUAUGUGUAUCUUCAUUUUGUACCUCUGGGGUAACAAGUUCCAUAUGUUUGUUCUCAACUGAGUUGUCCUUUUGUUUGUAGCUUGAAGUCUCUCUCAAAUUUCAGACAAUGUUUCUGGUAUUCUGAAAAGUUAUGAAUGAGUUUAUAUUCAACUUAUUUAGACCCUUCAUGAUUGCAUAAGCUCCAAUUAUAUCUUUCUAUGUCUUUGUCUUCUCAUGGUCCCAAUCUGAAGAGUCAUGAUAUGUUUGAGACUCUUUUUAGAAAUAUUAAAUAUUGUCU